GACAAAUACUGUGAACUAUUAACAAAAGUGUCUGUUUAUUUCCUUAAAGAUCUAAUUGUAAGUUUUUGUUUUUAAAUUUAUUUUUGAUAAAUAUUAAUUGAACUUUGGUUACUAUAGAUAUAAAUAAAAUAAAAUAAAUACUUUAUUUAAUCAAUGUUAGUAAUUAUUGACAACCGAAAUGUAAUUUUCUCAUGAGCAAUUUGGUUCACGUUCAAAAUAGAAUAUGAUUAAAUGAAGUCAAUAUGAAUAUCCUCCUCUGACAUGAACAUACUGAGGUUAAUACUUCUCAUCACUGGCAUAAGAAUAUGACAUGCAUUAACCAUGUUAACUGGAGUGAAGCCUUCGCAACACUGAUAAAGAAUUUUACAUGAACUGACUUUGGUUAAGACUGCUUAUCACUAAUAUAAGAAUCUGACAUGCAUUGACUAAAGUGAAGAUUUCUUAACACAUCUAUGAUAAUCUGACUUGUUUGUUUAUGUGGUUCAUACGUGUUUAUCGUUUCUCGUUUUAUAUAGAUUCGACCAUUGGUUUUCCCGCUUGAAUGGUUUUACACUAGUAAUUUUUGGGGGUUCUUUAUAGCUUGCUGUUCGGUGUGAGCCAAGGUUCCGUGUUUACUUUUAUAAAGUGUAAUUUGGAUGAAGAGUUGUUUUUUUGGCACUCAUACCACAUCUUUCUAUAUCUAUUAAAUCGACAAAAGUGGUGAAUUAUUAUUCCUGAUAUUAGUAUCUGACAUGAAAUGAUUGAAAUGAAGAAUUAUUCCUUGUAUAUGUGUCAUUAAUGGAUAGACGGAGAUUAAGAAUUCAUUACGUUCAUAUACGUAUCUGAUAUAAAUUAACUAAAGACGCUAACAUAUCUAGUAUGUAUGAAUAGGCAGAAAAGUACGAUUCUUAUUAGUUCGACAUUUGGUGAAACAUAAAUGACUAAAGUGUUUACAUAUGUAUAGGAAGGUAUACACUUGUUGAGUUAUGUUGAUCAUGUUGAUUGUUAACAAGCAUCCGAAAUGGUUUUACUUGGAUUUUUCUCGAUUUCGCUAAUUAGAUCUUUUUCCUUAGUAGUUCUUUUAUCCUUUUUUUUUAUCAAUUGCAGGCAAAUCAAGGAGAACAUGUACAACAUUAUUUUCAUUGUUGUAUUUACUGUCUUAACAAGUACUGUUAAUGGCUGUCCAACAGUAUGCAUAUGCUUUGAUAGCAAGAUUGUCUAUUGCAGAAGUAGAUAUAUAAUGGCAGUCCCAUCUGACAUUCCAUUGUCAACAGUCGGGUUGUGAGUAUUACAAUUAAAGAUGUUCUUCCACUUAAACAAAACAGAUGCUACGUAUGUAAGUGUUUACAAUUUCUAUAACAAGACUAAACUUCAGGUAGCUUUCUUCAGUUGAUGUGGACUAACUCGAAAUACUCGUCAAAUUAUAACGCUGCUUUUGCUUUUAAGUAGCCCCACACUAUUCAAGUGAAGUUUUGGACAUUAUGAAAUCAUAUUUUCGGACGGAAUGUGAAAACAAUCAUGCAAACACCGGACCACUGAGUAUUCAUUUAUCUGCCGGUAAUAUAUCUAUACUGACUUAUAAAAAUACCGGGUAAUUGUUUUCUAGGAUAUAAAUAGUUAUUUAGCAGCCUUUUUUAUUCAAAUGAAAUAAAGACAAAUGUUUUUUUUACAUCAUAUUUUGAUUGAAAUGUACUUUUUGCACAUUAGAUUAAGCAUUAUGUACAUUGUAUUUGUCACAGCCCUGUUUUUGAAAUGUUGGGUCCUCAAUGCACUUCAACUUUAAACUUGUUUGGCCUUUUUGAUAUGAGCGUCACUGACGAGUCUUAUGUAGACAAAAAGGCGCGUCGGCGUAUGCAUAUAUAAGCCUGUUUACACCACUGGGUCGAUGCCACUGCUGGUGGACGUUUCGACCCCUAGGGCAUCACCAGUAGUGUAGUCAGCUCUCGGUGUUGACACGAAUAUCAAUAGCAUGGUCAAUUUUAUAAAUUUGCUGUUUGCAAAAGUUUGAAUAAUUAAAAAAACUAAGGAUUUUCUUAUCAUAGGCAAAGAUAAUUUUAACCGUAUUUGGCACACAUUUUUAGGGCAAUUUUGGGUCUUCAAUGCUCUUCAACUUUAUACUUGUUUGGCUUUUUAAAUAUUUUGAUCUGAGCGUCCCUGAUGAGUCUUAUGUAGACGAAACGCGCGUUGACGUAUCAAAUUAUAAGCCUGGCAACUAUUUACCGUCAAUGUAAAACCUAAAUUAUAGCAAAAAACGAAAAACGAAAAAUGUAUAUUGAAAUUUGGUACUUCUUUCGUGAACAUAACUGAUUUCACGUGCCCAUAAAAGUAAUACAGUAAAGUAAGAAUUAGGAUAUCAAAUAUAACUGUGCCCUGAAAUAAUGAAAGAUAUUCUUUUUGUCAUAAUUUUAAGAGUUUUUUUAUUACCUGUUGAACAGACCAAUAAAACGUGCAAGUAGUGCAAGUAUGUUCGUAAACAGAUAUAUUGUUGUUAUGAUUUUCUUAUUUUGUGCAAUUUGAUGCAGUUGAUACAGUGGUUUAGAAAUUAUUUUUAAUUUUUAUGAAUUCAAAUAAAAUUGAGAAUGGAACAUGGGGAAUGUGCAAAGAGACAACAACCCGACCAUAGAAAAAACAAUAGCAGAAGGUCACCAACAGGUCUUCAAUGUAGCGAGAAAUUCCCGCACCCGGAGGCGUCCUUCAGCUGGCCCCUAAACAAAGAUAUACUAGUUCAGAGAUAAUGAACGCCAUACUAAUUUCCAAAUUGUACACAAAGAAACUAAAAUUAAAAUAAUUCAAGACUAACAAAGGCCAGAGGCUCCUGACUUGGGACAGGCGCAAAAAUACAGCGGGGUUAAACAUGUUUGUGAGAUCUCAACCCUCCCCUAUACCUCUAGCCAAUGUAGAAAAGUAAACGUAUAACAAUACGUACAUUAAAAUUCAGUUUAAGAGAAGUCCGAGUCUGAUGUCAGAAGAUGUAACCAAAGAAAAUAAACAUAAUGACAAUAAUACAUAAAUAACAACAGACUACUAGCAGUUAACUGACACGCCAGCUCCAGACUUCAAUUAAACUGACUGAAAGAUUAUGAUUUCAUCAUAUGAACAUCAGGCACAAUCCUUCCCUUUAGGGGUCUAGUAUCAUACCAUCAUAACAUAUAUGAAAAGAACAUAACCCGUGUCAUGCCAACAACUGGUUUUUGAAUAAAUGUGUUUAGUUCCGAUGCAAAGACCCUAUAAGUGAAUCAAUAUUAACGCCAAAUAUGCAAUCUUUAAUGACCUGACAACAGUAUCGUAACUAUAUCCCUUCUUAAUAAGUCUAUUCAAAGGUUUUGUUAGUUUUUGAGGUGAAUACUGACACCUUUGUGCUUUAUAAAGAAUAUUUCAAUAAAAAGUUGGAUGUGAAAUACCUGAACGUAUAAAGAAGUCUGCAUUUUGAGCUAUAUUUACGAAUGAUGUCCUUAUACCGAUGAUAAAUUUAGUAAAUGUUUUGACUAGUUUGUGAUAUCGAAAACCCUGGUGUAAUAAUUUUUCAGUAAUACAUAAAUUUCUCUCGUUAAAAUCUAAAACAUUGUUUUAUGUACGAGCGAAUCGUACAAGUUGAGAUAUAUAAACACUGUAAGAUGGUGACAAUGGAACGUCACCAUCUAAAAAUGGAUAAUUAACUAUAGGAAAUGAAAAAAUCAUCUCUUUUAUCAUAAAUUUUAGUAUUCAGCUUUCCGUUAGUGAUAUAGAUGAAUAUCUUUAUUCCAGAUUUUAACAAGAGGAAAUUGAUGAUUACAAAAUAGAAAAAUUAUCAUGCAAAAACUAAAAAAAAUAGCUACUAAUACGCAAUAGACUGAACAAGCAUCAUACAAUGAUAUUAAACAUGUUUUGGUCCUACUUCAAUUUCUUAUAAAUCAUAUUGUUAAUCAUCUCGUCGAAGUUAAUUGUUCAGAUCUCAAACUAGAUUAUCGUUUAUGGGACGUGUUCAUUGUGCCUUUUCAAAGUUUAGAACUCCCAUGGUCUGUGUUUUAUCAUAGUAUGUUAAUAAGGUUAUUCCAAUUUUCCGUGGAAAUACCAUAUUUGUUUUUGUUCUGAUUAUUAUUUUUUUUCUGAUGUUUCUUACACAGUAUUGUUGUUUGACAAUGUGUCGCUUAAAAAAUUUUGAAUAUAGUAUCGAAUAUAUUUUACGCCUUUUAACUGACAAAGCUUAACCACACAUUUUCCUUUGUAAAAGUUAUUCUACCAAACUCUGUUUUUCUUGUGUCACUACUAUUUCUCAAUCGUAAAAGAUAAUGACAAAUCUAUUUUACCAAAUCACUCUAUAUAUCUUCAGUUCUAAGAUGAUCAAUCAGACCUUAGAUAUUGAAAGACUCCAUUUGAAAGUUAUUUUCCCUGAUGCAUUUGAAAUAUACAAGAUGUAUUUGUAACUGGUAAAUCAUAACUGAAAGAGACCUAGGUCAAGGUAUAAAUGUUCAUUUUUGAUGAUUUUUAUCUCCUUUCAAAAACAGUAUAACACAUCAAAAACAUUAUUUUUUUAUGAAAUAUAAGUUGUAACAUGUCGUUACACAUAAAUUUGGUUGAAAGGGUAUUUUGACAUCAAAGAAAAAUUAUACGUAUGAUGAUAUAACUCGUUACCCAUGUAUAUAUCACUAGGACUUUUUCUUUUAGGUCCUAAAUUUAUGAUCUUAAAAUUAAGUUCGACGUCACAGGUAGUUUGGCGUUUUAGAUUUUGAUCUUUAAAUUUACUUCCUAUUUAUACACCAUAAAGCAAUAAGACUGUAUACUUUAGGUUGCAAACCAUUUGCCCUUGCAAUAGGGGUGUUGCUAAUUUACGGAAAAAGAAAUCGCACUUCGUACCCCUAAACUUUAACCACAUGUGAAAAUGUCUCAGCUUUGAAACGAGCCAUCAUACAUAUCCAAGUUAACGAUAUGGACCGAGCAACGGACGAAAACGAUAUCCAUUGCCGCCAAUGUAGAAACAAUUGCGCAUAUUGACCCAAUUUGAUCAUGUAUAGUUUAAAAUUUCAUCUUCGAAAAUCAUAUACAAUCUCUGUAAUGUUUUCCUCAAUUUUUAAAGAUAAAAGGUGCCAAUGUUCAGUGUAUGAAAACUCGAGAGAAUUAUUUCUCGCCUUAUCUUAUAUUCCCGAAGACAUGCACACGAACCCUAUAUUUGUUCUGCUUUUUAGAUGUUUUAUCUCCAUACUAUAAAUUUUAUAAGACUCUUAUAAAAACUUGGUAUUUUGAAACAGAACAACUUUCAUCCUUAAUGUAAAAAAAAACAUCCAUAUACUGUUGGAAUCAGUGUCAAGUAAAUUUUCAAAUAAUACCGAAAUUUUUAAACCAGAAGUAACAAAUCUUGUGAUCAAUUUUAUUUAACAAUCGCCAAUGGCAGUCAGCAGGGUUAAAUAACAUCAGUUGUUCGACCUGUUAGUCAAAUGCGUUUUGUUUAAAUAUACUUUUUCACUUUUUUGGUCUUUUCAUUCCAUUAAAAAUAUCUGUGAACAACCAAGCUGCCCUAAACUAUGUUUACUAAAAUAAAAGUUUUUGUGUACAAAUUCCUCGUUUAUAAUGCAAAACAAAUGGUCUUAGGAAAAGAAGUUUUUUUUUAGAUUUUAAAGCUCACCUUGGAUACGUUAAAUUAUAUCAAAUAAGCCAUACUUAGAUAAUGCGUUUUCUUUGUUUACAUGUGUCAGUAUGUGUUGAAUAGUUCCAUCUGUUUGAAAACAAUAGGCCACAGUUCUAUAGUAAAAUUGAUAACAUUAAAAGGGACUGUGUCAAAGAUACAACAAAUAGACCAAAUGGCAAAUAAAGGCCAAGGACCAUCAAUGGGUCUUCAAUUGGUCGUGGCUAAUUUUAGUCAUAAAAUACAGAACCAAUUACGCAAUAAGGGGUGCACAGUUAAUUGAUACAAAUCAGAAUUAAAAAACUCAAUGGGUCUAUCAAUACCGAUGCUACAUCAAUCUUUAAAGACCUAAAUGUUACAAAACACUUAUCCUACCUCCAUGACAAAUAUGUUGAUAUCCCCGCAGAUAAAGUCCCAAAUAACAUCGUUUUUGUGUGUAAAACUCAUUACAUUAACUGCUUGAUAAAACGAAUUAGGUAUUGACAAUUCACUAGGAAACUCAACAAAUACCCUCACGACCGGUGUACCAAAGAGGAAAUCCUAGAUAAUCAUAGGUCUGUUCUAUGUUCCUUUGGCAUUUCAACCAAAGAUGAGAACUAGUAUUAGAUACUUUAAACCUAAACAAAUAAGUUUCCUUACAAACAACGGUAUAAUGCUGGGUAUUCCAAGUGCUCCACGAAACCUCUUUCUAAAUUAUUAACAUCUAUUUUAUCAGCAAUCAAAGACGGGUUCAAAGUUAUUGUGACACUGCCUAUUGUAGAGGUGGAGUGAAUCAGAUGUGGAUACUAAAAAAUUCCAAAGAUCUUUUAGAGUACAUACAAUCUAACUGUCUUUCAUCUUGCAAUAGUAUUAAAACUUUUGACUUUUCUACACUUUACACAAAUAUUCCACAUUCCAAACUAAAAGACAAAUUGAAAGAGUUGGUAUUUCUUUGUUUCAUUAAGAAUAAUAGCCAACGUAGAUACAAGUAUCUUGUCUUAGGGAGGGAUAAAUUAUACUUUGUAAAGGAUAACUCUGAUUCAAACAAAAAAUUCUCUGAAACUGACAUUAUCAAGAUUUCUUUAGUUUCCCAUGUUUGGUCUUGUGCACUAUUAUUUUUCAUUUUUUUUUGCCAAGCAUUGUCAGCAGGUCAGUUUAAUUUUGAAUUUGACUGUCCCUCAGGUAUCAUUCGCCCCUCUUUUGGAAAGUUGGUGAAUUGGUGUUUUCUUACUGCAAAACCUUGAAGUAAAACUUACGUCAAACAAUAAUGGUAUUAUUGGCAGCCUUAUUUAUUGACAAAGACAAAUUCCAUGGCGAAUUAUUUAUGCUCAUGUUUGAUACGAGAAAUAAGAAUAUUAUAAUUGUUAUAAGAGUAAAAUGUUCUUUAAAUGAUAAUACGAAUAUUAACUUUGUUCAUUACUGAAUUAACACAAGAAUCUAAGAAUUCUUUGUCAGUAACUGUUUAGUUUUAUCCAUGUAAUUUAAUUGAUUUAAGCCUUUCCGAUUGGUAUUUUAUAGUGUGUUUUUCUAUGUUGUGAUGUUACACCAUUGUUUCAGAUAAAACUCAAGAUUUGGUACCAUUAAAACGUUUAAACCCGAUUUAGUUAUUCACACCUGUCGUAAGUCAGAAAUCUGAUGUUAUGUAGUUGUCGUUUGUUGAUGUGGUUGAUAAGUGUUUCUCGUUUUUCUUUUUUUUAUAUAGAUUAAACCGUUGGUUUUCCCGUUUGAAUGGUUUAACACUAGUAAUAUUUAGAGCCCUUUAUAGCUUGCUGUUAGGUGUGAGCCGAGACUCCGUGUUGAAGGCCGUACCUUGACCUAUAAUGGUUUUUCUUUUAUAAAUUGUGACUUGGAUGGAGUGUUGUCUCAUUGGCACUCAUACCACAUCUUCCCAAAUACAGAGUGAGUCGACCCCCAUUCCAAUAAGUAAUUGAAGAGGGAUGAUAGGUGGGUCCUUAAUAGAGGUAUAAUUUCAACUGUCGGUCAUAAACGAGGUUUAGGUGUCCUGAUAUAACAUUGGAACUAGGGCCGUAAAUGUAUAAGAAACUCCUGCAGUCUCAUGACGUAGGUGAUUUGUCACUGACAUUAACUUGGUAACCCCCUACUCCAUCACUGUUAUUGUAUAGAUGUCGAGUGGAUAUUAUACGUAUCCUGUGCUAUUUUGAAAGGGUUUAUGUCAGCAGAAUUCUUGCAGGAUCUUAUUGUUAAUGUCUAGAAAAAUCUAAAUGUAAGAAUUCAUUUGCCCCUAUCUAUUAAUAUUAUCUAUUAACAUUAUUUACAUAGAUUAAUACAACGGUAGAACUGUCCUUCCAUACAUAUUUACUAUUUAUCAAUAUAAUAUCAUCUGUGAGUAUAAAACUAUGUAAUAUCUAACCAGUUUUUACUAUAUUCAUUCAGGUCGACCAUUAUUUUUUCUUAUAUCUUUCUUGUAUUUAAGAAUACAACAAAUGAUGCCAAAAUACAUUCAAAUGUUUUUUUGCAGAAACCUUUUUUUCUAAUCAAAUUACCACGGUGCAAGGGUGUCUUCAACCUAUGCAUACAAACAAAAUACAAUAGGUGUUGUUAUAGCAAUUAUUAAUUAAUAAAAGGCAAAAUACAGUCAGUAAAUUAAAGCAUUAAAAUAUUACUCUUUGAAAAUUUAGAAACAAAAGUAAAGUAUAAUUUGCAAAAUUGUGUUGUAGUAAAAAUGAAAUAAUUCUCUGAACAAAUGGUUUAUCAUUGUAAAAUUGUGUGUUUGAAUCCCAUAUUAACGAAGGGUAUCCGAAAAGCAAUGUGUUACCACCUCGAUGUUUUUAGGUCCUUAACUGUUUCAUUUAAUAGUCUUAUUAACGCCAAUUACUUUAAACCGUUACUAAAUUCAGUCAAUGAUACAAAUACUUGGUUUGCAAGUUUUGAUGUAGUUGUAGAAAAUUUAGUACAAACGGAAUAGCACCUCCAAAUUUUACUCUGCUGAUAACUUUAAGCGGACCUGGAAAUAUUGAUACGAUCCAAUUUAUCAAUCAUAUUAAUGAGCUAAUUCUUAAAGGUUACCUAUUCAACACUGUUAUUAGAUAUUUGCUGUUAUUCAUCCUUGGCUUUCAAAUUUUCGACUUUGAGCUUCCGAGAUGAAGGUAAAUCCAGAAAAGCGCUUCGGACACAUGCAAUUGUUGAACGUGUUGUUUUAAUUUAUUUUUAAUAUUGUUUUUAUACAUAUUCAUUUGAUUAUCAGUAAGUUAGAUUCAUAUAAAAUACAUUUUUGUAAUAUUCAUAUGCGCAUUCACUGUACUAUAAUACAUGUAUUUUAGCUUGCACAAGGUGAUAUUUUUUUCUGAUAACCAUCAUGUUGAUGACUUCUUCACUCUAUCUUAAUUGGAUUUCAAAUGUGCACAAAUUGAUAUCUAUGUCCUAGAUGCAUGUUUUAAUGAUUGCCUUUAGUAACUGCGGUCACGCUCAGAACUGUAUUGUGUAUCUUUUUAAUAUUUAAAGGUGUCAAGAUACACUGUCCCAGCUGGUCUGUGAUUAAAUAUAAUUGCAUCAGUUUUAUUUUGCAGGUACCUGGAAAACAAUCAGAUAACCAAUUUGGAUAAAAACGUGUUUCGGAAGUUAACAGCUCUCGAAAGCUUGUAAGUUAUUUAAUUCUGAAAAAAAUAUAAAUUAACUGGAGCAGGGAAUACGUCAUUCUAAUCGAACUAAGACAAAUGUAUACUUGAGAGAAAUAACAUGAUUGACAAUAUCGUUCCUUAAUUAGGAAUUAAUAUUUUCAUUAAAACAAAACAAUGUUAGUCUUGUAUGUUUUUUUUUUAUUUUAGUUCAUUCAUAUGUUUUGGGGUUAAGUAUGACGUCCAUAUCACUUAACAAGUACAUAUCUUUAUCUAAUGGCCAGCUGAGGAUCACCUAGAGGAGAGGUAUUUUCUCGCUGCGGUGAAGACCAUUGGGGACCUGCGGCUGUUAUCGGCUCAUUGUUAGGGUUGUUGUCUCUUUGACAUUUUCCCAUUCCAUUUUUUAGAACUCGUAAUCAAGGACGUAAAUAUUUCUAUAGUUGAAUUGAUAAGAUAUAUUAACGUGCAAUUAAUUUAGUCCACCC
rnacentral:lncRNA from 1 species